UAAGGCUUUUGGUAUUCCUAUGAGUCCAUCCAUAUGUCUCGAAACGGAUGCUUUAGGAAAAGAUGUUAAUGAAGCUCUCUAUUGUGGAAUGAUUGGACCCUACUCUUCUUUUUAUACUUCCUCUCCUUUUCUUGUCUCUUAUUCUCACUUGCUCGUGACUCAAACAAGAUCCAUGGCGUCUCCAGCCUCUCCUUCAUCUUUUUUUUUGACUCUCUUGAACACGAUGUUCUCUCCCUCGCUUUUGAUUCUGAUGCUCUUUCAUCUUUCUCAAAGAAGAGAUCAUCUGUCACCAAGAAGAAGGCCUCAAAGAAAGCUCGUCAAGACUCCUCCAGUUCUUUAUCUCCUGAGGACAUGUAUCAUUUCUGGGGUGCUGAUCAGAAAGUCAAAUUUGCAGCUUUCAAAAAUCGUCCCAUUAUACUUGGAUGGGUCAUCAACUUGGAUCAGUUGAAGGAAUAUCUUUAUUAGGUCUUUCUCUAGUAUGGGCUACAUACAGGUAGGUGAUCAGUGGCACAAAAACUCUGUCAAAGCAAAGGCAGACACGGUUCGUGUGACUAAGGUAUCAGUCGACUCUAUCAAUCUGUUGUUGAAAAACAUGGACGAGGUCAAAAAUAGGUUGCUCGUGAUUGAGGAGAAUCUACAGGUAUUUUAGGAGUCUACAAGUAAAAUUAUUUAGCUGCACAAGGAUACUAGCACAGACGUUGGAAAGCUACUCCUGGUUGUGGAUGGUCUCAAACAAGAAGGUGUUUCCACUGUUAACAAGCUAAUUCAACAAGUUGACUUUCUUCGUAUCGGAGUCGUCUCUUCCAAUACAAAUUUUGUUUUCUCUGUCCACACCUUUUACUCUAACUUUUCCAAAAAUGUGGAACGCUCUUACAAUACCUUCUGCAGGAAUGUUCUUAACACUCUAAAGUAUGAGUCCGUUUGGAUAGACUUAAAAAAAAUAACUUUUAUAUAUGAAGUGUUUUUAAAUUUUGAAGUGCUGAAAAUUAUUUUUAUAAAUAAGCAGUUGAGUAUUUGGUUAAAAGUGCUUAAAUGAGCAAAAUGAUGUGAAUUUUAGGGUUAAAAGAAUAAAAAGGAUAGUUUGGAAAUUUAGUUAAAAUAUAAGAGAUAUAAAAGUAAUUUUCAUGGUCAAAGAAAAUGACUUUAAUCACUUAGAAAAAAAAAGUUAGGAAUCCUAACUUUUCAUUUUUGACUGACUUUAAGAACUUUAUGGCUUAAAGUUAGCAUUAGGCAAAUACGUCAAAAAACUAAAAAGGACUUUAAGUUGGUCAAACGGGCUCUAUUUCAUGGGUGAUCGUUAGACUUUACUACUGUUAAAAUUGUUAUGUUUCUUUGCUAAAUUGGAGGGUAUGUCCCCACUUUCUAUAAGUACUUUUGUACUGUAAAUAACAGGUUGUUAUCCCUCUCUAGAACUUUUUUUGGCUCUAAGUUGUUUGCAGCUUUGCCCAUCUGCAUGUCUAUCUCGAUUUUGGUAUGUUUGUCUGUCUACUUUUUUUAUUAUGUCAAAAGGGGGAGAAAGCACAAAUUAUCUUAAGGAACUAAAUAAGGGGGAGCGUCGCCAAUUCUCUUGGAAAUCAUGUGCACCUAGCAAGGGGAAGCUCAACAGGAAAGUACCCUAAUUUUGUUUGUGCUUAUUAUUUGUCGAUAUCAAAAGGAGGGAGAUUGAUAGGUUGAAAUUAAUUAAGAUAAGUUUUAUUAUGACAAAUAACAUUUGUAAUCUUUGCAGGAAAGAAGACAUUAUGAGAGUAAAUCACUAUAUAAGCAACUUACAUAAAUCAAGGAGAAUAUCCAGUCAAAUGCAAGGAAAGAAGAUCAGAGCCUAAGGAGCUGGAGUAUCUAGAAGAAAAGAAGAUCAUGAAUGAGAAGCCAGCUGGAAUAUCUACCAGGAAAGAAGAUCACGAAUAGGAAGAAGAAAAUCAGUGUAUCUCAAUCAGAUCUACAACCAGAAAAGAAGAUCAGAAUUUGAAAGAGUUGGAACGCUCAGAAGGAAAGAAGAUCGAGAAUACAAGGUAGAAAACCUCCACAAAUCAAGGGAAAAAUCAAUGCAAGCAAAUCUCAGAGGAAAAAAGACUAGAAGGUUAAUUGACUUAUUCAUGCACAUAUCUGAUAUAGACGUGUACUUUCAUCCAUCCUCUAUCAAGUAAUCAUUACAAAUUCUUGAUUGAAAGAAACUCCCUUGGGUUUUCCUUUUAGAGCACUCAGAGCCUCAAGACAAGCAGUCCUAUAAAAAGCACUCCCUCUUUGAAGUACAACUACGCAACUUCAUUUGAACUUGUACUCCAUCUGUUUUCUGUCAUCUUUCAUAAUACUCUGUAAUCUUGCAAAGACUAUAAUUUUUAAAGAAAAGAGAAAGAAGAGAACUGUAUAGGUUAUAUGGGUAGAGGCUGUGUCAACUCAAGUUGUAUCUGGUAUAGAUCAGAUAUUGUCAAGCUCGAACCAUAUGUACUCUCAUCAUUCACAAAGUCUCUAAAGAAAAUUCUUGUAAUUCAAGGAGACUAGAAGUAGGCAUCACAUUGGUGUACCGAACUAGUAUAAAAACAUCCUGUCUCAAUUUAUUUUUCGCACUUUAUCUUUUAUUAUAUGUAAAACUAAUCAACAGGAUAAGUCGACUA